rnacentral:rRNA from 1 species
CCCUUAGAUGUUCUGGGCCGAACACGCGCUACACUGAAGGAGGCAGCGUGUACUCCUGGAUCGAAAGAUUUGGGUAACCCGCGAAUCUCCUUCGUGCUAGGGAUUGAGGUUUGCAAUUAUCCUUCAUGAACGAGGAAUUCCCAGUAAGUGCAAGUCAUAAGCUUGCGCUGACUACGUCCCUGCCCUUUGUACACACCGCCCGUCGCUACUACCGAUUGAAUGAUUUAGUGAGGACUUCGGACUGGGACCGAUGCGGCUUUCGGGCUGCGUCGGUAUUCUGGAAAGAUGUCCAAACUGUAUCAUUUAGAGGAAGUAAAAGUCGUAACA